rnacentral:tRNA from 1 species
GGCUCGGUAGCUUAGUUGGUGAAGCGCUCGUUUAGCAUACAAGAAUCCUGGGUUCAAAUCCCAGCCGAGCAC